CACCGCGGUUAUACGAGAGGCCCAAGCUGACAGUUAACGGCGUAAAGAGUGGUUAAUACACGCACAAAAUAAAGCCGAACAUCUUCAAAGUUGUAUAACGCACUCGAAGACAUGAAGAUCAGCCACGAAAGUGGCUUUACAUAACUUGAACCCACGAAAGCUAGGAAA
rnacentral:rRNA from 1 species